GACAGAGGGUGCAAACGUUGUUCGGAAUUACUGGGCGUAAAGCGCGUGUAGGCGGCCCUGCAAGUCGGAUGUGAAAUCCCACGGCUCAACCUGGGAAUAGCGCUUGAGACUGGGCGGCUUGAGUUCGGGAGAGGUGAGUGGAAUUCCCAGUGUAGAGGUGAAAUUCGUAGAUAUUGGGAAGAACACCGGUGGCGAAGGCGGUUCUCUGGGCCUGUACUGACGCUGAGGAGCGAAAGCGUGGGGAGCGAACAGG
rnacentral:rRNA from 1 species